GACGAACGCUGGCGGCGUGCUUAACACAUGCAAGUCGAACGGAAAGGCCCUGCUUUUGUGGGGUGCUCGAGUGGCGAACGGGUGAGUAACACGUGAGUAACCUGCCCUUGACUUUGGGAUAACUUCAGGAAACUGGGGCUAAUACCGGAUAUGAGCUCCUGCUGCAUGGUGGGGGUUGGAAAGUUUCGGCGGUUGUGGAUGGACUCGCGGCUUAUCAGCUUGUUGGUGGGGUAGUGGCUUACCAAGGCUUUGACGGGUAGCCGGCCUGAGAGGGUGACCGGCCACAUUGGGACUGAGAUACGGCCCAGAAUGCUACGGGAGGCAGCAGUGGGGAAUAUUGCACAAUGGGCGGAAGCCUGAUACAGAAGCGCCGCGUGCGGGAUGACGGCCUUCGGGUUGUAAACCGCUUUCGCCUGUGACGAAGCGUGAGUGACGGUAAUGGGUAAAGAAGCACCGGCUAACUACGUG
rnacentral:rRNA from 1 species